CUGGGAGUUGGUGAUGGACAGGGAGGCUUGGAGUGCUGCGGUCCAUGGGGUCCCAAAGAGUCGGACACAACUGAGCAACUGAACUGAACUGAAGUGAGGUUGCAACACAGGGACUCUCCUUCUGAGUCUGCCCAUGUGUCCAUCCACAAGUACUAUGCUUUUUCCUCUUAAUAAAUACUCUACCUGCUUUACUACUUUCUGUCUUGGUGGAAAUUCUCUUCUGCAGACCUGAAGGGCUAGGGCUCUUGUCACUGACCACAGGUCUAGUGGCUAGGAUCUAGUGCUUUCACUGCUGUGACUUGUCCUCAGUCUCUGGGAUCUCAGUCUGUUGAAGCUCCACUUCAAGCCAUUGGAGGCUAAGGCCACCCGAGAUCAGAGCAAAGGAGGAAUCAAAGACAGCCUCAUAUAUUAAACUCUUAGAUUCUUUGAUUUUAAAAGUAAGAGUCAAUAGAGGAGGCACAGGCAGUGAGCCUUGUCCCAGCAAACAAGGCUACCAAGGUGGUCUUGCAAAUUAAGGAGGAGGGCAAAUCCAUUUCUUUAAAAAAAGUUCUCAAGGGGGAAUAUAUAAAAUACCUAAGUUUGAAAUGAAAUUAAAAGACGCUUGCUCUUUGGAAGAAAGGCUAUGACCUUAGACAGUGUAUUAAAAAGCAGAGACAUCACUUUGUUGACAAAGGUCUAUAUAGUCAAACCUAUGCUUUUUCCAAUAGUUAUGUACAGAUGUGAGAGUUGGACCAUAAAGAAGGUUGAUUGCCAAAGAAUUGAUGCUUUUGAACUGUGGUGUUGGAGAAGACGCUUGAGAAUCUCUUGGACAGCAAGGAGAUCAAACCAGUCAAUCCUAAAGAAAAUCAAUCCUGAAUAUUCAUUGGAAGGACUGAUGCUGAAGCUAAAGGUCCAAUACUUUGGCCACCUGAUUCGAAGAACUGACUCAUUGGAAAAGACCCUGAUGCUGGGAAAGACUGAAGGCAGGAGGAGGAGGGGAUGACAGAGGAUGAGAUGGUUGGAUGGCAUCACUGAUUCAAUGGACAUAAGUUUGAGCCAACUUCGGGAGAUAAGUGAAGGACAGAGAAGCCUGGUGUACUGCAGUUCAUGAGGUCAGAAAGAGUUGGACACAACCAAACAACAAAAGCCAGACUAUUUCCAAACUCUUGGUUCUUUACCUUGGAUUGUCCCGAGAGAGUAUUUCAAGGCUGAAGGCCUGCAUGGCCACAUCCAGCACCUCAUCAGUCAUGCCCACCUCGUCCAACUGCAGCUUCUCCUGGCUGGACUUAUGCUGAGGUCCUUUAAUGGACCGGAACCUGGUGGUCCGGAGUCGAUGAUAAGAAAGAGAGAGAGAAAGAGACUGAGAUUCCUUGGUUUAUGCAGAAAACCAAUAAAGGUCUUGACACAGAGCUUGCACUGCUACACGUAUGCCGCGGCCAGCACAAGCAAGAGUCGCACCUGCACAGGGAGAGAACGGAGCGUCCCCGCCAAGAAAAUAAAAGAGAGACAAAAGAUGGGGUUGAGAGGAUCAGACCAAAAUGGCUGAUACCUUGCUUUAUUGUGCUGCAGUAUAUAUAGGAUAAAGUACGUGACUUAAGGCACUUACAAGAUUGUUUUUAAUCUCAGGAUACAAUCACCAGACCCUUACCAUUGUAUACAGAACACAAUCAGAUAAUCUAUCUUCUAUGAAGUAUACACAAUAAGAUAAUCUAUCUUCUAUGAAAUGUUGCCGAAACCAAACAUCUUGGAGCCUUAAGGGCUAUUAAAAAUUCUUG
ensembl:lncRNA